rnacentral:tRNA from 1 species
GAGGGUAUAGCUCAGUGGUAGAGUGCAUGCUUAGCAUGCACAAGGUCUUGGGUUCAAUCACCAGUACUUCCA